rnacentral:rRNA from 1 species
GAUGAACGCUGGCGGCGUGCCUAAUACAUGCAAGUCGAGCGAACAGAUGAGGAGCUUGCUCCUCUGACGUUAGCGGCGGACGGGUGAGUAACACGUGGAUAACCUACCUAUAAGACUGGGAUAACUUCGGGAAACCGGAGCUAAUACCGGAUAAUAUAUUGAACCGCAUGGUUCAAUAGUGAAAGACGGUUUUGCUGUCACUUAUAGAUGGAUCCGCGCCGCAUUAGCUAGUUGGUAAGGUAACGGCUUACCAAGGCAACGAUGCGUAGCCGACCUGAGAGGGUGAUCGGCCACACUGGACCUGAGACACGGUCCAGACUCCUACGGGAGGCAGCAGUAGGGAAUCUUCCGCAAUGGGCGAAAGCCUGACGGAGCAACGCCGCGUGAGUGAUGAAGGUCUUCGGAUCGUAAAACUCUGUUAUUAGGGAAGAACAAAUGCGUAAGUAACUAUGCACGUCUUGACGGUACCUAAUCAGAAAGCCACGGCUAACUACGU